rnacentral:lncRNA from 1 species
GCUGAGAUCAAGCCACUGUGCUCCAUCCAGCCUGGGCAACAGAGUGAGACUCUGUCUCAAAAAAAAUAAACAAAUUUAAAAAAAUAAACAAAAGUCCAAAAUUAUGGCCCUUUGUGGAUGUGAGUCCUGGGCUAGGUGGCUUUCUCACCUUGCCUCAAGGCUGUCACAUUUCCAGACACCUAUGUACUCUCUUUCUCUCUUCCUGGCUUGCUUGCUGUGUUAACUCUUCAUCCAUCUUUGCAGCGCUAGCAAAUUCUUCCUUAGUGGUAAAACUUGAACCCACCAUCUGAUGGGUUUCGGGACCAGGCACCAUUCCCGCACUGUGUGCCUGGUUGGUCAAGACGACACCAAGUCAUUAGACCGGGAUGGCCUCUUGCACUUUGGAGGUUUG